AAUUCCUUGUCGGGUAAGUUCCGACCUGCACGAAUGGCGUAACGACUUCCCCACUGUCUCGACCAGGAGCUCGGCGAAAUUGCAGUACGAGUAAAGAUGCUCGUUAAGCGCAGAAGGACGAAAAGACCCCGGGACCUUUACUAUACCUUGGUAUUGGCAUUCGGUGUGGAUUGUGUAGCAUAGGCGGGAGGCCGAGAGGCGCGGUCGCCAGAUCGCGCGGAGCCGUAAGGUGAAAUACCGCUCUGUUCGCAUUGGAUGUCUAACCUCGAACAGUCAUCCUGUUCAGGGACAGUGCCUGGCGGGUAGUUUAACUGGGGCGGUUGCCUCCCAAAGAGUAACGGAGGCGCCCAAAGGUCCGCUCAGCCCGGUUGGCAAUCGGGUGGCGAGUGCAAGUGCACAAGCGGGCUUGACUGCGAGGACGACGGUCCGAGCAGGGACGAAAGUCGGGACUAGUGAUCCGGUGCCGGUGUACGGACGCGGCAUCGCUCAACGGAUAAAAGGUACCCCGGGGAUAACAGGCUGAUCAUUCCCAAGAGUCCAUAUCGACGGGAUGGUUUGGCACCUCGAUGUCGGCUCGUCGCAUCCUGGGGCUGGAGCAGGUCCCAAGGGUUCGGCUGUUCGCCGAUUAAAGCGGCACGCGAGCUGGGUUCAGAACGUCGUGAGACAGUUUGGUCUCUAUCCUCUGCGCUCGUUGGAAUGCUGAGGAGGCCUGCCCAUAGUACGAGAGGACCUGGGUGGACGAACCUCUGGUAUGCCGGUUGUCACGCCAGUGGCACGGCCGGUUGGCUACGUUCGGAAGGGAUAACCGCUGAAAGCAUCUAAGCGGGAAGCCUGCUCCAAGAUAAGCAUUCCGUGGAACCUUCGAGUUCCUGUAGUCCCCAUGCAGAACACGUGGUCGAUAGGCCGGACGUGGAAGCCCCGCGAGGGGUGGAGCCGACCGGUACUAACGGACGAAAGGCAACACUAA
rnacentral:rRNA from 1 species